AUUCAUUCUGUUUUGUGUGACAUUUACACACAAAACGACGAAGCCUAGGAUUAAUUGGAAGGACGGCAUUAUCUCCAUCAUCCAGAGCGGUCCAAAGGUGCUUCCUGAAUGUUGAACGCCCAACGUUGGGAACACCCACCCCGACACGGUCUCCUGCCUCGAGAGCUCAGCCGGGCAUGUGUUACAAGAGAUUUGCUUGCCAUACAAGUGCAUAAUUAUUUAAAUACAAGAACUUGAUUUCCGGGAAGAUCAAUAUACAUACAUUGCUUUGGUGAAAGAG